CACGUGUAACUGUGUUGCUAGCGGAGUCUACUCAGAUCAGCUUUGAACCUUUGUGAGUCCACAUUGAGCCACCUCUACCCACUGACCCCUGACGCUUCAAAAAGCCCAGCCUCUGUGUCCCCCUCCCUUCCUGGUGACUCACCUCCCUGCCAUCCUUGCCCCCUCCCCCACCAGCCUCCUGUCUUGAAGGGCAGUCCCCUCUGUUCAGUUUGCCUUCUUCCCCCCACAAAGGAGUCUCUGUCACUUCCUCCAGGUAGCCUUCUGUGAUCAGAGGAGCCCUAACAUUAGCUCAGCAGUUGUACCUCCACUUGACAAAUGAGGACGUGGGCUCAAAGUACCGCCGUGACCAGAGCAGGUCCCGUGGUAGGCACGUAUAUUUGAUCCCAGGACUUCUACAGCUCAGGACAGGGAAGCUGAGGCCCAGAGAGGAUGCAGAAAAUACAGACCAUAUCCACCCCCAACACUACCUGCAGAGCCUGGAAGCACAGGGGUCAUUCUCUUGGAGGGUGUGAGAGGGCAACUCCACUCUGGGUAAGAAAAUCAUGACAAGAAGGUGUGUCUGGGUGGAAUUACAGCCAACCGCCUCCACUUUCUCACCUCCCACUCAGCAGGUCCUAUUACGGACUCACUGAAGCAGCACGUGGAAGCAGCUCUCUGGAAGGUUGCCUUAACUUAGUUGCUAAAUCCCUCACCCCACCCUGAUCUCUCAGGGAAGCAUGCAGAACUUCCCCAACCAGGGAUCGAACCUAUGCCCUCUGCAGUGGAAGCAUGGAAUCUUAACCACUGGAUUUCCAGGGAAGUCCUGCAUAACUUAUUUCUGUGCAGACCUCAGAAUAAAGCUUCUACUGACACUUCUACCAAGAUGUUAAAACUCUUAGCAUUUGCCUCUGCAUGUCUAUGAAGUGCAGUAAUUUCUAAUUACUGACUAAAAGAAACUGCCGCAG
ensembl:lncRNA